AUUGAACGCUGGCGGCAUGCUUUACACAUGCAAGUCGGACGGCAGCACAGAGAAGCUUGCUUCUUGGGUGGCGAGUGGCGAACGGGUGAGUAAUAUAUCGGAACGUACCGAGUAAUGGGGGAUAACUAAUCGAAAGAUUAGCUAAUACCGCAUAUUCUCUGAGGAGGAAAGCCGGGGACCUUCGGGCCUUGCGUUAUUCGAGCGGCCGAUAUCUGAUUAGCUAGUUGGUGGGGUAAAGGCCUACCAAGGCGACGAUCAGUAGCGGGUCUGAAAGGAUGAUCCGCCACACUGGGACUGAGACACGGCCCAGACUCCUACGGGAGGCAGCAGUGGGGAAUUUUGGACAAUGGGCGCAAGCCUGAUCCAGCCAUGCCGCGUGUCUGAAGAAGGCCUUCGGGUUGUAAAGGACUUUUGUCAGGGAAGAAAAGGCUGUUGCUAAUACCGACAGCUGAUGACGGUACCUGAAGAAUAAGCACCGGCUAACUACGUG
rnacentral:rRNA from 1 species